rnacentral:miRNA from 1 species
ACUCCUACAGAUACCACGUCC